UAAGGAAUAUUGGUCAAUGGACGCAAGUCUGAACCAGCCAUGCCGCGUGGAGGAUGAAGGUCCUCUGGAUUGUAAACUUCUUUUAUUUGGGAAGAAAUGUCCGAAUUCUUUCGGGCUUGACGGUACCAGAUGAAUAAGCACCGGCUAACUCCGUGCCAGCAGCCGCGGUAAUACGGAGGGUGCAAGCGUUAUCCGGAUUUACUGGGUUUAAAGGGUGCGCAGGCGGAUAUGUAAGUCAGUGGUGAAAUCUCCGGGCUUAACCCGGAAACUGCCGUUGAUACUAUAUAUCUUGAAUGCUGUGGAGGUAAGCAGAAUAUGUCAUGUAGCGGUGAAAUGCUUAGAUAUGACAUAGAAUACCUAUUGCGAAGGCAGCUUACUACACAGAUAUUGACGCUCAGGCACGAAAGCGUGGGGAUCAAACAG
rnacentral:rRNA from 1 species